rnacentral:tRNA from 1 species
GGGCGCUUAGCUCAGCGGAAGAGCGCUGCCUUCACACGGCAGAGGUCACUGGUUCGAACCCAGUAGCGCCCACCA